GGCUCUUUGGUGUAGUGGUUAUCACGUCAGUUUUACACACUGAAGGUCGAGCGUUCGAUCCGCUCAUGAGUCA